rnacentral:tRNA from 1 species
AUUCAUAUAGUUUAAAAAACAUUUUAUUUUCAUUAAAAAAAAAGACUUAAAGUCUUAUGAAUU